AUUGAACGCUGGCGGCAGGCCUAACACAUGCAAGUCGAACGGUAACAGGAAGCAGCUUGCUGCUUCGCUGACGAGUGGCGGACGGGUGAGUAAUGUCUGGGAAGCUGCCUGAUGGAGGGGGAUAACUACUGGAAACGGUAGCUAAUACCGCAUAAUGUCGCAAGACCAAAGAGGGGGACCUUCGGGCCUCUUGCCAUCGGAUGUGCUCAGAUGGGAUUAGCUUGUUGGUGGGGUAACGGCUCACCAAGGCGACGAUCCCUAGCUGGUCUGAGAGGAUGACCAGCCACACUGGGACUGAGACACGGUCCAGACUCCUACGGGAGGCAGCAGUGGGGAAUAUUGCACAAUGGGCGCAAGCCUGAUGCAGCCAUGCCGCGUGUACGAAGAAGGCCUUCGGGUUGUAAAGUACUUUCAGCGGGGAGGAAGGGAGUAAAGUUAAUACCUUUGCUCAUUGACGUUACCCGCAGAAGAAGCACCGGCUAACUCCGUG
rnacentral:rRNA from 1 species